rnacentral:rRNA from 1 species
GCAUGGCUGUCGUCAGCUCGUGUCGUGAGAUGUUGGGUUAAGUCCCGCAACGAGCGCAACCCCCGUCCUUAGUUGCUACCAUUUAGUUGAGCACUCUAAGGAGACUGCCGGUGAUAAGCCGCGAGGAAGGUGGGGAUGACGUCAAGUCCUCAUGGCCCUUACGGGCUGGGCUACACACGUGCUACAAUGGCGGUGACAAUGGGAUGCUAAGGGGCGACCCUUCGCAAAUCUCAAAAAGCCGUCUCAGUUCGGAUUGGGCUCUGCAACUCGAGCCCAUGAAGUUGGAAUCGCUAGUAAUCGUGGAU